rnacentral:rRNA from 1 species
UACAGAGGUCCCAAGCGUUGUUCGGAUUCACUGGGCGUAAAGGGUGCGUAGGUGGUGGGGUAAGUCGGAUGUGAAAUCCCGGAGCUCAACUCCGGAAUUGCCUCCGAUACUGCCGUGCUUGAGGACUGGAGAGGAGAUUGGAAUUCACAGUGGAGCAGUGAAAUGCGUAGAUAUUGUGAGGAACACUAGUGGCGAAGGCGAAUCUCUGGACAGUUCCUGACGCUGAGGCACGAAGGCCAGGGGAGCAAACGGG